AGUGAACGCUGGCGGUAGGCCUAACACAUGCAAGUCGAACGGCAGCACAUUAAGAGCUUGCUCGUACGGGUGGCGAGUGGCGGACGGGUGAGGAAUACAUCGGAAUCUACUUUUUCGUGGGGGAUAACGUAGGGAAACUUACGCUAAUACCUCAUACGACCUACGGGUGAAAGCAGGGGAUCUUCGGACCUUGCGCGAUUGAAUGAGCCGAUGUCGGCUUAGCUAGUUGGCGGGGUAAAGGCCCACCAAGGCGACGAUCCGUAGCUGGUCUGAGAGGAUGAUCAGCCACACUGGAACUGAGACACGGUCCAGACUCCUACGGGAGGCAGCAGUGGGGAAUAUUGGACGAUGGGAGCAAGCCUGAUCCAGCCAUACCGAGUGGGUGAAGAAGGCCUUCGGGUUGUAAAGCCAUUUUGUUGGGAAAGAAAAGCAGCAGGUUAAUACCGCGCUGUUCUGACGGUACCCAAAGAAUAAGCACCGGCUAACUUCGUG
rnacentral:rRNA from 1 species